GAUAAACGCUGGCGGCGUGCAUGAGACAUGCAAGUCGAACGAAGGAUCGGGCUUGCUCGAUCCUUAGUGGCGGACGGCUGAGUAACGCGUAGGUGACCUGCCCCGAAGUGGGGAAUAACUGCCCGAAAGGGUGGCUAAUACCGCAUGUGGUCGCACGUUCAUUCGUGCGAGUAAAGCCGCAAGGCGCUUCGGGAGGGGCCUGCGUCCGAUUAGCUCGUUGGUGGGGUAAUGGCUUACCAAGGCGACGAUCGGUAGGUGGUCUGAGAGGACGAUCACCCAGACUGGGACUGAGACACGGCCCAGACUCCUACGGGAGGCAGCAGUCGGGAAUUUUGCUCAAUGGGGGAAACCCUGAAGCAGCAACGCCGCGUGAGGGAUGAAGGCCUUCGGGUUGUAAACCUCUUUUGUCAGGGACGAUAAUGACGGUACCUGGCGAAUAAGCCACGGCUAACUACGUG
rnacentral:rRNA from 1 species